UAGUUUUAAAUAUUGUUCCUUAUGAAUUGUUGGUCUUCCAUUUUACUCUGUUUCAUGCUAUACUGAUUGAUUUCAAAAAAUGGGUGUUGUCUCAUUCCAUUUUACUCUGUUUCAUGCUAUACUGAUUUGGGAUUACACUAUUGUUUGCCCUAGCAUAGGAAAAUAUUGAUCGAUUUGUCUUUGAUGCUGUUGAUUUCAGCAGCCUUGAUCCCUGAUAUGAUUUUCAAUGUUAUAAUGUUUUAUAUUGCCUAGUAACAGAGUUCAAUGUUAAGUGUGGGGUUUCAAUUGUCAAUACUGUUUAAAACCCUCCUUUAGGUUCAGUAAUGUAGUUAUUGUUGCACCUUUACUUACUUUGGAAAGAUGAAAUUUUGGUCACCACAAAUAAAAAUCAACAAGAGUAGUGAAUGAGAAGAUGAUUUGUCAUAGUUCCUUUGUUUUUCUUGUACAAUUUCCUUAUUCCCUUUAUCUACUAUUAUGUUUAAGGUGAAUGUCAUCAAUUUGCUAUUGUUAGUUGUUGUACUUUUUUAUGUGAAAUUUGAUUGUUGAUUUUUGUAACUUUUAUUUGAAAUUGCAUGCUAAUGUGUUUUGAUUGAUUAGUGAAAUUGGUUGAUUUAGUUUAGAAUAUCUAGUAUUGGUUGAAUUAGUUUAUUUUAUUGACUGCAAUUGCUGCCCUGUUUAAUCCUUAAUUUUUUUUUUAAUAUCGAGGAUUGUGAUGUAUCUACAAUUGCAACUUAAAUCCUUGGCUCCUUGAAAUUUAAGCAUGGAGUAUAAUGAAUCUCCUGCAUUAGCAUGCAAUCACUAGUUUAUGUAUCAAAUUCUUUAGAGAUACAACACACCAUACUGAAAAUGACUUAACAAAGUAGCCUCACAAAAACAUUUGCUUUCUGUUAGGUAACACACUACUAGUAGUUUUUUACUGCUUUCUUGUUAUCCUCAGCUCCCUUUUUUCCAUGUGUUUUCUUUUUUGAAAAAAAGGAGACACAACAUUCAAUAUGUUUUAUUAGUAACGUAAGUUUGUCUCCUAACAGUUAUUUCAAUUCACAUUGUUGUUAGUUCAGUUUGUUGUUACAUAUUUCAUCGGGAACAAACACAUGAGGCAGAAAAAAAAUUGAAGCCUGCUGUUGGUCAACGAGAGUAUUCUUCAUCCACUAAAGUUUUAAUUCACUUCUUCACCUACUCAAUUCAGCUUAAUGUUUGAAGUUACUUCCAAUGGUACUACUACUAGAGAGUAGAGACAAGUGUGCAGUGUGUGACAUCUAGCAAAGUUCUCUAAGAAGUUCUUUUUUUUUGAAGGAAAGUUCUCUAAGAAGUGCUGUUAUCUAGGAAUGAUGGCAUAUAUUGGAAUUUCUUGUUUUUUUCUUUGGUCCAUUGGUGAAGUGACAGCAUCAUCUUCUAUGAAUUGAAGAGCUUUCAUAUUUAUAUACAAAUCAAUGAGGUUGACUAUUGCAAAAUAAAUCCAACUUCAGGCACUGAAGUCGAGUCGAGUUUUUUUUUGUCCGUUUGGUAUAAAAAACAACAAACAAAAAUGAAGUUCAUGAAACUUGGGACAAAGCCAGAUACUUUCUACACUGAACAAGCUACCAGGACAUUGACAUCAGAGAUACCCUCAUACCUUGUGAUACAGAUCAACGAUGUUACUUAUCUGCUACACAAGGUAUUAAGGACUUAGAACUCAAGUGGAUAUAAACCAAAAUAUUUUGAUUUUAGUUCAUCUAUACAAUUAUUUUCUUUUUAUCUGCAGUUUGCCCUUCUUCCAAAAUGUAGACUCCUCCAAAGGCUUUGCUAUGAUUGUAGUGAUUCAAAGAGUUUUAUUGUGGAUAUUGCUAUAAUAUAACUUCUUAGAUUGUAUUCAUAUAUGCAUAUGUACUUUUUUAAAUAUAAAAUAUUGAUGUGUCAUUCUUCUUAUUUUUGAAAUAAAAGGAAUGCAGUUUAAAUAAAAAAGAGCUUAAUAUUUGAUUAUUUUGACAUGAAAUUUUGAUGAAAACGUUAGUAAGACUAAUUCUACAUUUAACUUUUAACACAUUUCAAUUAACUUUUAACACAUUUCAACUGUAAGCUUUCGUCAAACUCUUUUAGUCUUUAUCCUACAAUCAUUCAUCUUUGGCAUGAUAUAUUAAUGGUUGAGAUGAUAUUGUCCGAUGUUGCUGUGGCUAUGCUUGAUUGGGAUAUAUAUAGUUUGAUGAAUAUUAUGUCCGAAGAUGUUUUUAUUUUUUUAAAAAGAUUAUGCCCAAAGAUGUUGUCAUAGCUUUAUGUUGAAUUGUUGAUAUUACUAUAAUAUAACUUCUUUGAUUGUAUUUAUA